rnacentral:rRNA from 1 species
GAUGAACGCUGGCGGCGUGCCUAACACAUGCAAGUCGAACGAAGCAAUAAAGACGGAGAUUCGUCAAAGCCUUUAUUGACUUAGUGGCGGACGGGUGAGUAACGCGUGAGCAACCUGCCUUUCAGAGGGGGACAACAGUUGGAAACGGCUGCUAAUACCGCAUAAUGUACAGAGGGGGCAUCCCUUUUGUAUCAAAGGAGAAAUCCGCUGAAAGAUGGGCUCACGUCUGAUUAGCUAGUUGGUGGGGUAAAGGCCUACCAAGGCUGCGAUCAGUAGCCGGACUGAGAGGUUGGCCGGCCACAUUGGGACUGAGACACGGCCCAG